rnacentral:lncRNA from 1 species
UUUAGGAUACCCAGAUAAGACACGGUAAUAACGCUGAUGAAAGAAGAGGGCAACUGGGAAAAUGGGCCAACCUACAACAAGUUCAAGAAGCUCAACCCCAGUGGCUUAGAUUCCCAGGAGGAGUUUGAGACUCCCUCAGCCCUCCACUAUCCCCAUGAGACAAACCAGAACAUGCUGCGCCAUGGCAGGACAUACUGUGUCCCUUUGUUCCAAAUGACCUCAACAACUCAAAUUCCCUAUCACAAAUAUAUGAAGUCGUGAAAAGAAAGGAAGAUUCAAGGGAAGAGGACAUGAUUAAUAAACCCCUACCAGGCAGAGAAGCCAGCCAAGUGUCCAAGCCAUGUGAGUUAUGUUUCCUUGACAGCUUUGGAUUAUUAUGAAAACAAUUGCCAAGACAUAAACUAAUAUUCAGAAG